rnacentral:rRNA from 1 species
UUUAACGGCCGCGGUAUUUUGACCGUGCAAAGGUAGCACAAUCACUUGUCUUUUAAAUGAGGACCGGUAUGAAUGGCAAGACGAGGGCUUAACUGUCUCCCCCCCUUGGUCAAUGAAAUUGAUCUCCCCGUGCAGAAGCGGGGAUAUUAACAUAAGACGAGAAGACCCUAUGGAGCUUUAGAUGAACAGGUAAACCGCGGCACUUAAACCAUAUUAAACGGCUGAAUCCAAGUGGAAGUUAUCUGUAUGUCUUCAGUUGGGGCGACCGCGGGGUAAAGGAAAACCCCCGUGAGGAUAGGGGUGACCACCCUACAGACAAGAGAUUCAACUCUAAGCACCAAAAUUUUUGACCCGUGAUCCGGUACAACCGAUCAACGAACCCAGUUACCCUAGGGAUAACAGCGCAAUCCCCUCUGAGAGUCCUUAUCGACGAGGGGGUUUACGACCUCGAUGUUGGAUCAGGGUAUCCUAAUGGUGAAGCCGCUAUUAAGGGUUCGUUUGUUCAACGAUUAAAACCCUACGUGAUCU